GACGAACGCUGGCGGCGUGCUUAACACAUGCAAGUCGAACGGAAAGGCCCUGCUUUUGUGGGGUGCUCGAGUGGCGAACGGGUGAGUAACACGUGAGUAACCUGCCCUUGACUUUGGGAUAACUUUAGGAAACUGGGGCUAAUACCGGAUAGGAGCUCCUGCUGCAUGGUGGGGGUUGGAAAGUUUCGGCGGUUGGGGAUGGACUCGCGGCUUAUUAGCUUGUUGGUGGGGUAGUGGCUUACCAAGGCUUUGACGGGUAGCCGGCCUGAGAGGGUGACCGGCCACAUUGGGACUGAAAUACGGCCCAGACUCCUACGGGAGACAGCAGUGGGGAAUAUUGCACAAUGGGCGGAAGCCUGAUGCAGCAACGCCGCGUGCGGGAUGACGGCCUUCGGGUUGUAAACCGCUUUCGCCUGUGACGAAGCGUGAGUGACGGUAAUGGGUAAAGAAGCACCGGCUAACUACGUG
rnacentral:rRNA from 1 species